GUCGAGGUGCACCAAAAGUUGCAAAUCCAACAUUUCCAGGUGCAAACGUCACCCUCCCUGGAAGUGAAACUCCAUGGACUCCCCACCGUCCAGCAUAUAUAAGGGAUCCAUAUUCAUCGAUGGGACUCACAGUAGGCUGAGGACUUUUAGGUGAGCUUUUGUAUAUACUCCAAAUUUCAUCGGCUUUGAUCUCUCCUCUCUCAAGUAACACAUCUGUAAUUGUCUCUACAGCAUCGUGGUUCUCUUUUAGAAUAGAUAAGCAUUUCUCCACGGCAUAUCGCAUGUACUCAUCUCUUAGUGCUUCAAUUUUAGCAGGGAGAUUUGGUAAGAGAUCUCUCUGGUAUCUGUAAUAAGCCUUUCCCAAGGCAGUCAACCCUGUCUGCAGUAUCA
rnacentral:misc_RNA from 1 species